GUGAAAUUGUUGAAAGGGAAGCGCUUGCAACCAGACCUGCCUGCAGUUGCUCAUCCGUGGCUUUUGCCCGGUGCACUCUUCUGCUGUCAGGCCAGCAUCAGUUCGGGCGGUCGGAUAAAGGCUUCGGGAAUGUAGCUCCUCUCGGGGAGUGUUAUAGCCCGUUGCGAAAUGCGGCCAGCCUGGACUGAGGUCCGCGCUUCGGCUAGGAUGCUGGCGUAAUGGUUGUAAGCGGCCCGUCUUGAAACACGGACCAAGGAGUCUAACAUCUGUGCGAGUGUUUGGGUGUUAAACCCGUACGCGUAAUGAAAGUGAACGGAGGCGGGAACCCCUCGGGGUGCACCGUCGACCGAUCCUGAUGUCUUCGGAUGGAUUUGAGUAAGAGCAUAGCUGUUGGGACCCGAAAGAUGGUGAACUAUGCCUGAAUAGGGUGAAGCCAGAGGAAACUCUGGUGGAGGCUCGCAGCGGUUCUGACGUGCAAAUCGAUCGUCAAAUUUGGGCAUAGGGGCGAAAGACUAAUCGAACUAUCUAGUAGCUGGUUCCUGCCGAAGUUUCCCUCAGGAUAGCAGUAACGUUUUCAGUUUUAUGAGGUAAAGCGAAUGAUUAGAGGCCUGGGGGUUGAAACAACCUUCACCUAUUCUCAAACUUUAAAUAUGUAAGAAGUCCUUGUUGCUCAGUUGAACGUGGACAUUUGAAUGUAUCGUCAC
rnacentral:rRNA from 1 species